UGCAUGGGCAAGAAAUAAAUGCUUACUGUAUACUUCUGAGCUUCCGUGGUUGGUUGUUACCCAGCAUUAUCGUGUCAAUAUCUGACCCAUACCUAUUCCAAGUAAAUCUUUUCUAUGAUCUUACUAAUACAUGGCACAGAGCUGAAAAAUGAGAUUUUAUUCUGGUCUGUGAUAGUGCCACAGGUUGGGUUCUCCAGGAAGCAGAUGCUGAGAUGGAGUUAGGAGUACAAAAGGUUUAUUGAAAAAUAGCACCGGUGAAGGAAAGAUGGUGCCAUCAGACAGCAGUGAAGUCCCAGCCAGCCCAGUAGGGAGCUCUAGAGCCAGUUCCUUGAAGGGAGGUCCUGGGUCAGGGGAAAACAGCUAGACCCUCAUACUGCUGUCUGCCUCAGUCAUUGACUAGGGACUGCCCAGAAAAGACAGGGCCCUUAGCUACCAUGGCUUGCCAGUCAUGGAUUGGGAGAUACCCCAGAAGAGCAUGACCUUAGUUUGAAACCAGAUAUGGAACCCGUCAGCUAAGCCCACUCCUUGCAUCUGGGCAGUGGGUCCUUUCUGGAAGGGGAUCUGAGCAGAACAUCUCCAUGUCACCCACAGAUAGCUUUAAGAUAGUACAUGUAUAAAAGAUAAGGAAAGGCAGGACGCCUGGAUGGCUCAGCAGUUGAACUUCUGCCUUCCGCUCAGGCCAUAAUCCCAGGGUCUGGGAUCAAGUCCCGCCUCAGGCACCCUGUGAAGAGCCUGCUUCUCCCUCUGCCUAUGUCUCUGCCUCUCUCUCUCUCUCUCUCUGUCUCUCAUGAAUAAAUAAAUAAAAUAUUUUUUAAAAAAUAAGGAAAGGUAUAGAGGACGCUAGUGUGCUAUUUGACAACCUAGAAGUGUUUAAAUGACCUAUAAUUCAGUCCUGCUACUGGUUCCCUCGGGUGGAAACAGUACAGGACUCCUGGUUUUAUGCAAGCUGCUUCUUCCCCAGUCCUUUGCAUCUCCCUAAACGACAACUGGCACACAUGUAGUUGCUCAGGUGAAAAACUUAGGUGUAAAGAAGAGAUUUUGGAAAUUCAAAAGUAUUUGUUAAAUUUAAAAAUACGAGUGCUCAGGGAUCUCUGGGUGGCCCAGCGGUUUAGCACCUGCCUUCAGUCCAGGGGUGAUCCUGGAGAUUCGGGAUCAAGUCCCUCAUCGG
rnacentral:lncRNA from 1 species